UGGGGAAAGGACUGAAAUCAAAGGGGAUGUUUUUUAUUUAAAUCACAAGGAUGUUAAACUGUCCCAAAGUAAGUACAGUUCUGUACAAUGAAGAAUUAUCAAGACCAUUAUUGACAGUAAUGCCUCCAAUAAGAAAUGACAGAAAGGCGAUACAAACACAUGCUCAACACUUCUAUUAUACACUAAAGGUAAUGGAGAAAGUCACUUCUCUAUGACCUUAGGUGGGAAAGUAGGGAGAAGAAGAAGAGCAUUAUCCACCCAAACUCUAAUACACACACAAAAAAGUGCUUUUAGCUGGGAUCAUAAAGGUCUCCCAAGGAAAAAGUCAAGUUCCUAGAAGCAAAAUUGUUCUUAUAUGCAAGAGAUAUUUUGAGAUAUGCAAGAGACAGAGGGUACAGUGUGAAAGAGGAACAUAGACAGAACAAUAGAGGGAACAGUUGAGAGGAGGUAAAUGGUAAAUAAUGAGUAAGUAGGUGCCAAAGCUGAAGCACAAGUUUGGUCUUCAGGGAUGCUGGGUCCAAAUCAAUGCACAGUAAUGAUUCUGUAAAGUCAAAGCUCAGUCUGAAGAUGACGGAGAAUCUCUGACCUGUUUGGGUUGGACAAAGUAUAUGCUCAGAGAAGCAACAGAUAAAAUGGAUUCCACUGGAAUAGACACAAUUUGGAAGGCCACCCUUGCUGCCCUAACAAAAGGAGGAAUCUUACGAUGAAAAAGUUGAAGGCAUUUUUAUCAUGGCCACACAGACAACAAAUGACUUCAUGUACAUAAUUAACUUCCCAAAUAGAACCUUCUACUGAUGAAGUCACGUGAUUUCCAGAAUUACCUUUCUCUGAGCACCAUCAUGCAUGACUAAAACUUUGAGCACCAUGGCACCAUUUCUUCUGCGCUAACAACGUUGUCCAUCAAGAUUAAAUAAAGAAU